UACGGGGGGGGCAAGCGUUGUUCGGAAUUACUGGGCGUAAAGCGCACGUAGGCGGAUCUUUAAGUCAGGGGUGAAAUCCCGGAGCUCAACUCCGGAACUGCCUUUGAUACUGAGGGUCUCGAGUUCGGGAGAGGUGAGUGGAACUGCGAGUGUAGAGGUGAAAUUCGUAGAUAUUAGGAAGAACACCAGUGGCGAAGGCGGCUCACUGGCCCGGUACUGACGCUGAUGCACGAAAGCGUGGGGAGCAAACAGG
rnacentral:rRNA from 1 species